rnacentral:rRNA from 1 species
CGGCGAACGGGUGAGUAACACAUCGGAACGUACCCUGUCGUGGGGGAUAACACAUCGAAAGAUGUGCUAAUACCGCAUACGACCUGAGGGUGAAAGGGGGGGAUCGCAAGACCUCUCGCGAUAGGAGCGGCCGAUGUCGGAUUAGCUAGUUGGUGGGGUAAAGGCUCACCAAGGCGACGAUCCGUAGCUGGUCUGAGAGGAUGAUCAGCCACACUGGGACUGAGACACGGCCCAGACUCCUACGGGAGGCAGCAGUGGGGAAUUUUGGACAAUGGGGGCAACCCUGAUCCAGCCAUUCCGCGUGAGUGAAGAAGGCCUUCGGGUUGUAAAGCUCUUUCGGCAGGAACGAAACGGUGCGGGUUAAUACCCUGCAUCAAUGACGGUACCUGAAGAAGAAGCACCGGCUAACUACGUGCCAGCAGCCGCGGUAAUACGUAGGGUGCGAGCGUUAAUCGGAAUUACUGGGCGUAAAGCGUGCGCAGGCGGUUUUGUAAGACAGAUGUGAAAUCCCCGGGCUUAACCUGGGAACUGCGUUUGUGACUGCAAGACUAGAGUGCGGCAGAGGGGGGUGGAAUUCCACGUGUAGCAGUGAAAUGCGUAGAGAUGUGGAGGAACACCGAUGGCGAAGGCAGCCCCCUGGGUCGACACUGACGCUCAUGCACGAAAGCGUGGGUAGCAAACAGGAUUAGAUACCCUGGUAGUCCACGCCCUAAACGAUGCGAACUAGGUGUUGGAGAAGGAGACUUCUUUAGUACCGUAGCUAACGCGUGAAGUUCGCCGCCUGGGGAGUACGGUCGCAAGAUUAAAACUCAAAGGAAUUGACGGGGACCCGCACAAGCGGUGGAUGAUGUGGAUUAAUUCGAUGCAACGCGAAAAACCUUACCUACCCUUGACA